rnacentral:misc_RNA from 1 species
UGGUUCUGGCAUNGAUGAAGAACGCAGCGAAAUGCGAUAAGUAAUGUGAAUUGCAGAAUUCAGUGAAUCAUCGAAUCUUUGAACGCACAUUGCGCCCUCUGGUAUUCCGGGGGGCAUGCCUGUUCGAGCGUCAUUACAACCUCAAGCUCUGCUUGGUGUUGGGCCGCAUCUCAAGAGAUGGGCCCUAAAAUCAGUGGCGGUGCCAUCUAGCUUCUGGCGUAGUAAUUUUCUCGUCAUGGAUGCCUGCAUGAGCGCCUGCAGUACCAUCAUUUUUCAAAGGUUGACCUCGGAUCAGGUAGGGAUACCCGCUGA